ensembl:lncRNA
CUCCUCUCCGCCCCGAGGCUGUUUCUAGGCAGGGGGCCGCGGGUGCAGAGCCGUUCCCUGGCAAUGCCCGCUUCGCGUCAGCCGCUCUCGCGAAAGCUGCCGGGCCGCUCCGUGAUCUCGCGGUUCCCCGGAUGAAGGAACGGGCCGAGGCCCGCCCGUACCUCGCGGUCAGUCGGUGACGUUCUGGCUGGGAACGCUCCGAUGCCGCGAACCUCGGCGAUCAAGCGGAAUAGCAGAUCGUGCUUCUGUAUUUAAGGCUGCUAGGCUGAAAGUGCUGCCGAUGCGAAAUUAAAAUGGAGCUGAAGCUGAAGUUAGAAGAAAAGCACAGUGUAUCCGGCGGCUAUUAUUCAGGGUCUUUCAUGAAACUCGUGUCCAAGGAGGCUUCCAAAACCUUCCGUCUACUGCCCUGUCGGUUUCCUGCUUUGUCAUAGUGGCACAGGGAGGAAUUCUCUGAGCUUCGCCCCUCUGCCUUGACAAGGUGCGAAUCUGAGAAAUCCACCAGGGCGUCCAUCAGGACACGCUGGGAAUCCUAAGGUCGAUGCGGGGGAAAGGCAUUGUGACAUCACAGAGCAGGGCAUGACAUCAGACUUGGUCAAGUCACGCCGGCAGCCUCCCCCAGCUCAGACACUUGGAGCAGCCGCUCCGUCCUGGUGGUCACUGCUGGAGCUCUGCUGUGGGUGACAGCCAUUUGUGUGUAGAGAUUGUUCUUUGGGAGAGAUCAGGAUGAAGCUCAGCCUGACUCUCUUCCUGGCCAUGGCUCUGAGCAUGUCUCCAUUUGCGGGACGUGGCCCAGGCUGUCCCAGCUAUCUCAGCUGGGUCUGCAGUUGCGACCAAAAGGUCGUUCCUGAGGAGCAGCAUCGGGUGGCGACCAAGAGCCAGACCUCCACCCGGCGGGGCUGGUUCGGCCUAACCUCCUGUCCCAUCAGGGUGGAGGACAAGAACAACAACGAGACCCUUUCUGAGGAGCAGCCUAUGGAGGAGACCAAGAGCCAGACCUCCACCUGGCGCUGCUGGCUAGGCCUAACCUCCUGUCCCAUAAGGGUUGAGGACAAGAACAAAAGUGAGAUCCUUCCUGAAGAGCAACCUGUGGAGGAGACCAAGAGCCAGACCUCCACCUGGCGCUGCUGGUUUGGCUUAACCUCCUGCCCCAUCAGGAACAAGGACGUGAACACAAACCAGGUCCUUCCAGAGGAGCAGCAUACGGAGAAAACCAAGAGCCAAUCCUCAUACUGGUCCUGCUUGCUUGGCUCUUCCCAGUGUCCCAUAUGGGUCUGGUACAAGGGCAGCAAAGUUGCUGUUCCACAAGGCCCAAAGCAGCAGUCCCCAGGCACCAAGCAGAAGGCCUACAGCUUGCCUGGCAUCCUGGGCCACCUUUGGGACUACCUUAUGCAAAGAGGGAGAACCUGGCUCCUUACAGCUCCCUUGACAAUUUUCUCCAUUCUCUGGCUGCUGACAACUGCCCGUGCCCACUGGAGAAGAUUAAGAAGACCUCGGGGACAGGGAGCGGGACAAGCGGAUCCAGCUUCCUUAGGAACAGAGGAAACGGACAACGUAAAUGCUCUCGACCUGCUCUGCCAGAUGGACGCCUACAUAACCCUAAUGGAGAGACUUAUGACGAUCCUCAUGCAGCACCACGUGAAAAAUGUCAGGAGCCAGCAGUGCAGGAAGACGGUGCACAGCACGGGGGACAGGAAGAGUCCCUCCACAGACUCCUGAGGGAGCUGGCAGAGGUGACUGCCAAGCCGCUCUCGGCUGUCUACCAACAACCACGAGAGACCCCCACCACCCCAAGAGCGUGGUACAACAUGUUAGUAAUUUCUCAGGAUUCCAGCCGGUUUUCUUGGAAUGUAACAAAUAUGUCUAUGUUAUGUCUUUAAAUUUAUAACCACUGUUGUUCUCGGUGUGUGAGUAAGGAGGUGAUAUCCCCCUCGCACACGGUGCCAC